AGAUGAAGAAGAAGAGCAGGCUCAUUCUGAAGUAAAGAGGCCAGCAUUUGGCAAACAUGAGAAUAUGCCGCCUCACGUAGAAGCAGAUGAAGAUAUAAGAGAUGAACAAGACAGUAUGUUGGAUAAAUC